CUGUACUUGCUUACCGAUAGAAAAGGACAAAUAAUUGGAUUGCUGUUUUCAACAAUGGGUGUUGAUGUUUGCAUGAUCAGUGUUAGUCCAAGGUUGUAACAAAAUUUCUCACUAUGGAGUCCUUGCUUGACGAGAGCGUUGACAAGGAGAUAAAUUUGCAGAUCGAAUGAGGUGGAACUCCUUUAA